CCUCCCGCGGGAGCGUGGACUGCCGCCAUGUUCUGCCUGCCCUUCGCGCCCAGUGGGGUGUUGCUCCGGGUCUGUUGCUUCAGAAAUUGGGUAUCACCACCACGGGGAUAAGUGUGCAUUGCUCAAGUGUACCAUUGGAAGACAUGACUUCAGUGUACCCUUCUUCACAACUGCAUAUCCUUGUCUGCAGGAGAACAAGACUUAUACUGUACAUGCAAGUACCAGGUGUGCCGAAGUCAUUGUUAUAAUGAAGUUUCAAGACAAGAAUAGAUGUCAUAAAGAAACAGUAUUGGUGGCAUGGAAAGAACUGAUAGUUUCAAACCAUACUUGUUCAACUUAGAAUUUUAGCAAAGCAAAAAUUUUCCUUUAUUUAUGGAAUUGAUGAUCCUCUGGAAUCU